GAACAAGCCAGUAAGGAACAUCCCUCCAUGGCCUCUGCAUCAGCUCCUGCUUCCUGACCUGCUUGAGUUCCAGUCCUGACUUCCUUCGUGAUAAACAGCAGCACGAAAGUGUAAGCCAAAUAAACUCUUUCCUCCCCAACUUGCUUCUUGAUCAUGAUGUUUGUGCAGGAAUAGAAACUCUGACUAAGAUAAAUUGGUACCUGCAUAGUGGGGUAUUCCUGUGACAACCUGACCAUGUUUUGGGGAGAACUGUGGAAGGACUUUGGAGCUUUGGGCCAGAAGAUCCAUUCGCUGCUAAGAACUCUGAGAUGUUGUUUAGGAGCUUGGAAGAUAAUGUUGAGAACAGUGCAGAAGAUGGAGGUCUGGCUUGUGAAAUUUCAAAGGGAAAAUUAAAGACUCUUUUCAGGGCCAUUGCUGUUUUGAUUGUGAAUAUUCUGUAGUUCUGGUUAGGUGGGCUGAAGAAUCAGCUGUGAUUAACAAGAUACCAGAACUACUAAAGCAAAAACUUUGCAUUACUGGGACUAUUGAUGCUAGUUAGCUGGAGCUAAGAAAUUAGCGGUGAUUAAGAAGAGACCAGCAUCAUUGAGGUGACAUCUUCUGGAAAGUGUUUUCUGAAAGCACAAACAGGCUGUGUUCCAGAGAUAGCCAAGGUCGUACUCCUGCUGCAGUGGGACUUGGCAAUGUGUAAGGGUCACUCAGGUGGUACUGGUUUUGAAGGCAUGAAGGGAUCACACAGAAUAGCUGAGGCUCAGCACUGUGAGAGGCCAUGGAAGGCCAUUGGUGAAGGUGCAGCCUCAGUUGCAAUUGACAGCCCAGGAAUGAAGGGGUCAUGCAGUGUUUUGGAGAUGCCAGUACCAUGAGAUGACCACCAAGAGCAGCAGCAGUGGAGUACAGGCAUCUGGAGCCUAGGGGACGACAUGUGUGCUACAAAGGGCAUGGCUGGAGAAGUGACCCAAGCCCUUGGAGGAGCCCAGAAGAUCGUGAGUUGGAUCCCAGACAUUGGAUGGUUGGAGAUUUGAUUUUUGCUUUUGAUUGUGACUGUGCCCUGGUAUUUUCCCUCUUGGAGG
rnacentral:lncRNA from 1 species